rnacentral:lncRNA from 1 species
UUUUCUUACCUUCAAGUCCAGUUCUUUGAAAGUCCAAAUUUGCUCUGAACUGACUUCAAGCAAGUGCCCACUCUUGAACCAAUUACUGAGGCUGGAGGAUAAAGACACAAAUUGGCCAAACUUGGAUUACCUGCCUUCUGCAUCUUAAAGGAGUCUGUCCCAACUACAAACUUCAGAGGAUCACAGAAAACACCCACAAACUUAUGAGGAUCACAGAAAACACCCCUACACCAACUUAUAGCCAAUCUGUUCAACCUGCAUUGUUAGCAGGUCACCUCUCCUGGAUCUCUGCCUGUAGUGCCCAAUUAAGAAUGGAAGGAGGAGAUUUUUCAGCUUUUGAAGUCUACAUGCCUUCAAGGAAAUUCUUUAAAAACAGGCAAGACACUUUAUGAUGAGGAGCUACAGAACAGGGUACAUGCCCCACAGUCUUCAAUACUUUUUAUUAUUGUUUCAAGAAAACUGGAUAAAUUCAUUCUGAACAUCACAGACUUGAAAGUAAUUGUUACCAUGCCUUUGAGAAUGCCUACAGUUAUCAUAGGCAUCAUCUCAAAGGAAAAGAAUUCUUUGUUAUUGUAUAUGCAAUUUUGAAUAAAAAAAUCAAGUUGCAUUGUUAUUGAAAUUAAA